rnacentral:rRNA from 1 species
GAGUAUGGCCAUACCACCCUGAACAAGCCUGAUCCCGUCUGAUCUCGGAAGCUAAGCAGGGUCAGGCCUGGUUAGUACUUGGAUGGGAGACCACCUAGGAAGACCAGGUGCUGUAGGUG